UACGAAGGGUGCAAGCGUUAAUCGGAAUUACUGGGCGUAAAGCGUGCGUAGGCGGUUUGUUAAGUCUGUUGUGAAAGCCCUGGGCUCAACCUGGGAAUGGCAAUGGAAACUGGCGAGCUAGAGUCAGGUAGAGGGUGGUGGAAUUCCCGGUGUAGCGGUGAAAUGCGUAGAGAUCGGGAGGAACAUCUGUGGCGAAGGCGGCCACCUGGACCAUGACUGACGCUGAGGCACGAAAGCGUGGGGGAGCAAACAGG
rnacentral:rRNA from 1 species